UUAAGUUCAGCGGGUAUCCCUACCUGAUCCGAGGUCAAACUAAGAAUCAAAGACGUAUGCGGCAGCCCCGCGGCCUGGUCCUUGUGCGAACAAUCUGCUACGCGCAAGACCAACCGCCGGACGCCGAUGCUUUUCAGGCGAGUCCCGCCGCAGUAUACGGGGGACAACAACCCAACACCAAGCUGCGCUUGAGAGGUGCA
rnacentral:misc_RNA from 1 species